UACGUAGGGUGCAAGCGUUAAUCGGAAUUACUGGGCGUAAAGCGUGCGCAGGCGGUGAUGUAAGUCAGGUGUGAAAUCCCCGGGCUCAACCUGGGAACUGCAUUUGUGACUGCAUCGCUGGAGUGCGGCAGAGGGGGAUGGAAUUCCGCGUGUAGCAGUGAAAUGCGUAGAUAUGCGGAGGAACACCGAUGGCGAAGGCAAUCCCCUGGGCCUGCACUGACGCUCAUGCACGAAAGCGUGGGGAGCAAACAGG
rnacentral:rRNA from 1 species